GCACCAGUAGCUUAAUUUAGAGCGCCGGCCUUGUAAGCCGGAGGCUGGAGGUUAAACUCCUCCCUUGUGCU
rnacentral:tRNA from 1 species